rnacentral:rRNA from 1 species
UACGGGGGGGGUAAGCGUUGUUCGGAAUUACUGGGCGUAAAGGGCUCGUAGGCGGCCAACUAAGUCGGACGUGAAAUCCCUCAGCUUAACUGGGGAACUGCGUCCGAUACUGGAUGGCUUGGAUUUGGGAGAGGGAUGCGGAAUUCCAGGUGUAGCGGUGAAAUGCGUAGAUAUCUGGAGGAACACCGGUGGCGAAGGCGGCAUCCUGGACCAAUAUUGACGCUGAGGCGCGAAAGCUAGGGGAGCAAACGGG